rnacentral:lncRNA from 1 species
GUGAGCAAAGAAUCCAUUUGGUCUGGGUGGCUCUCUUCCAGAUUGGCCACAUCAUCCACUUCAGUGGGCUGGCGGAGCAUGAGCUGGGCAUCAGUGAGGUGGGCUGGGAGGUCCUGCAGUUUGGCGCAGACAGACAGCACGUUGGAGAAAAGCCGGUGGAAGCGAAGCUCUGCCUGCACCCCACAGGGGAACGUCACUGUUUCGCUUGGGGGCUCACGGCUGCAUCCCCAGCGCUCUGUGGCUGCUCCCGUGGGGCAGAUGGGGUCCGUC